UCCGGUUGAUCCCGGCGGAGGUUACUGCUAUCGAGGAUCGACUAAGCCAUGCGAGUCGAAUGUAGCAAUACAUGGCGUACUGCUCAGUAACACGUGGACAACCUACCCUUAGGUCGGGGAUAAACCCGGGAAACUGGGUAUAAUACCCGAUAGUGCUCGACUGCUGGAAUGCAUCGAGUUCUAAAGCUCCGGCGCCUAAGGAUGGGUCUGCGGCCUAUCAGGUAGUAGUGGGUGUAGCGUACCUACUAGCCUACGACGGGUACGGGUUGUGAGAGCAAGAGCCCGGAGAUGGAUUCUGAGACACGAAUCCAGGCCCUACGGGGUGCAGCAGGCGCGAAAACUUUACAAUGCUGGCAACAGCGAUAAGGGGACCUCGAGUGCCAGGUUACAAAUCUGGCUGUCGUGAUGCCUAAAAAGCAUUGCAUAGCAAGGGCCGGGCAAGACCGGUGCCAGCCGCCGCGGUAACACCGGCGGCUCGAGUGGUAACCGUUAUUAUUGGGUCUAAAGGGUCUGUAGCCGGCCGGAUAAGUCUCUUGGGAAAUCUGGCAGCUUAACUGUCAGGCUUUCAGGAGAUACUGUCUGGCUCGAGGCCGGGAGAGGUGAGAGGUACUUCAGGGGUAGGGGUGAAAUCUUGUAAUCCUUGAAGGACCACCAGUGGCGAAGGCGUCUCACCAGAACGGACCUGACGGCAAGGGACGAAAGCUAGGGGCACGAACCGGAUUAGAUACCCGGGUAGUCCUAGCCGUAAACGAUACUCGCUAGGUGUCGGCCACGGUGCGACCGUUGUCGGUGCCGUAGGGAAGCCGUGAAGCGAGCCACCUGGGAAGUACGGCCGCAAGGCUGAAACUUAAAGGAAUUGGCGGGGGAGCACCACAACGGGUGGAGCUUGCGGUUUAAUUGGAUUCAACGCCGGAAAUCUUACCGGGACCGACAGCAAUAUGAAGGCCAGGCUGAAGACUUUGCCGGAUUAGCUGAGAGGUGGUGCAUGGCCGUCGUCAGUUCGUACUGUGAAGCAUCCUGUUAAGUCAGGCAACGAGCGAGACCCA
rnacentral:rRNA from 1 species